UACAGAGGGUGCAAGCGUUAAUCGGAAUUACUGGGCGUAAAGCGCGCGUAGGUGGUUUGUUAAGUUGGAUGUGAAAGCCCCGGGCUCAACCUGGGAACUGCAUUCAAAACUGACAAGCUAGAGUAUGGUAGAGGGUGGUGGAAUUUCCUGUGUAGCGGUGAAAUGCGUAGAUAUCUGGAGGAACACCGGUGGCGAAGGCGGCGUCCUGGACCAACACUGACACUGAGGAGCGAAAGCCAGGGGAGCAAACGGG
rnacentral:rRNA from 1 species